GUGGACUUUGCAGCUAUUCACAGUUACAAAUGGUAUCCUGGGGUUUCUAUAACGAAAAGUGGUCCGAUCCAGAGGAAAAUGGAACAACAGCAAAGGAUAAAUUAUUGCAGGUUUCAUGGUGGAGGUGACUCUUUCCCAGUGAAUUCAAGGAAAUUCCACAAGGUUUCCAGGGCCCUGGAAGGUUGACAGAUACAGUGUAAUAAGCAUUUCCUACUGUUCUCCAAAGGUAUAG